rnacentral:rRNA from 1 species
AGUGAACGCUGGCGGUAGGCCUAACACAUGCAAGUCGAACGGCAGCACAGGAGAGCUUGCUCUCUGGGUGGCGAGUGGCGGACGGGUGAGGAAUACAUCGGAAUCUGCCCAGUCGUGGGGGAUAACGUAGGGAAACUUACGCUAAUACCGCAUACGACCUUCGGGUGAAAGAGGGGGAUCGCAAGACCUCUCGCGAUUGGAUGAGCCGAUGUCGGAUUAGCUAGUUGGCGGGGUAAUGGCCCACCAAGGCGACGAUCCGUAGCUGGUCUGAGAGGAUGAUCAGCCACACUGGAACUGAGACACGGUCCAGACUCCUACGGGGGGCAGCAGUGGGGAAUAUUGGACAAUGGGCGCAAGCCUGAUCCAGCCAUACCGCGUGGGUGAAGAAGGCCUUCGGGUUGUAAAGCCCUUUUGUUGGGAAAGAAAUCUUUCAGGCUAAUACCCUGGGAGGAUGACGGUACCCAAAGAAUAAGCACCGGCUAACUUCGUG